UCCAGUUACACCUUCUCCAGUGCUUGACGUGCCUGGUCAAUUACACCUGCCCAGCUUCUGUAAGAGCUUGUCUUUGACAGGAGCCCAGAUAUGUGGGUGGGACGAAGAGGACCCUGGCAAUCCUCAAGGAAGGUGGCGGGUGCCACUCCAUCUGUGUGAAAGCAUUCCACCGUCCAGGUGCAGAUAAACAUGUUUGAGCUUCAGCAACACCCACAUGAGUAUCUGUUCUCCCACCUUACACAAUAGCACCUUACAGAAAAGGGAACAGGACUUUGAGUGUCAUCAACUGGGCCCUGCAGGGAGGAAAAGGCCAGCUGAUAAUGGAAGCCACCCCAGAUUAGUGCGAGGGGGACUGGCUUCUUAUUCAAGCAACCCCGGUGAAUUUCCAGUCCCAGCGAGUGAUGCUGGAAGGCAUCGAAGCCUUCAGGGCUGGCCUAAUGACAAAAGCACGUCACCUACAGAUGUUCCUGAAUGGCACUGGGGCCCUUGGGCUUAGGAGAUGUCUGUCCUUGGCGUUUGUCCUAGCAGACUCCAGCCUGAUUUGCUACAAGGCCUUGAGAUGUUAUUUCUGCAGGGUUGCUUGUGUUUUAAGAAGAAUUUGUUGGAAGACAUGACAUUUUAAAGUCAUAAUGGUAAGCAGAAGCAGAAAAAAAGACCUAGGGUACAGAAUUUGGGGACACCCCCCUUUCUGAGAACUCCUUUAUUUUCCAAAUUAGAAACAUUAAAAUGUUUUCUGUAAUUUCUCUAUUGCAAAGUGAGGCCAGAAGCACAUGACAAUAAAAAUAGGAGAAGAAAAUUUAGGAAGACA
rnacentral:lncRNA from 1 species